ACCAACAGGGAUUGCCCUAGUAACGGCGAGUGAAGCGGCAACAGCUCAAAUUUGAAAUCUGGCUCUUUCAGAGUCCGAGUUGUAAUUUGCAGAGGGCGCUUUGGCUUUGGCAGCGGUCCAAGUUCCUUGGAACAGGACGUCACAGAGGGUGAGAAUCCCGUACGUGGUCGCUAGCUAUUGCCGUGUAAAGCCCCUUCGACGAGUCGAGUUGUUUGGGAAUGCAGCUCUAAAUGGGAGGUAAAUUUCUUCUAAAGCUAAAUAUUGGCCAGAGACCGAUAGCGCACAAGUAGAGUGAUCGAAAGAUGAAAAGCACUUUGGAAAGAGAGUCAAACAGCACGUGAAAUUGUUGAAAGGGAAGCGCUUGCAGCCAGACUUGCUUGCAGUUGCUCAUCCGGGCUUUUGCCCGGUGCACUCUUCUGCAGGCAGGCCAGCAUCAGUUUGGGCGGUGGGAUAAAGGUCUCUGUCACGUACCUCUCUUCGGGGAGGCCUUAUAGGGGAGGCGACAUACCACCAGCCUGGACUGAGGUCCGCGCAUCUGCUAGGAUGCUGGCGUAAUGGCUGUAAGCGGCCCGUCUUGAAACACGGACCAAGGAGUCUAACAUCUAUGCGAGUGUUUGGGUGUCAAGCCCGAGCGCGUAAUGAAAGUGAACGGAGGUGGGAACCCGCAAGGGCGCACCAUCGACCGAUCCUGAAGUUUACGGAAGGAUUUGAGUAAGAGCAUGGCUGUUGGGACCCGAAAGAUGGUGAACUAUGCUUGAAUAGGGUGAAGCCAGAGGAAACUCUGGUGGAGGCUCGCAGCGGUUCUGACGUGCAAAUCGAUCGUCAAAUUUGGGCAUAGGGGCGAAAGACUAAUCGA
rnacentral:rRNA from 1 species